UUAAAAAUGAGGAUCAAGUGAAAUCCCCCUCAUCCCCUCCCUUUACCUGCAGCAUAAGGUAAGACAUAUAAUAUAUUUAUAUUUUUUAUUAUUGAAGAGCCUGAAAAUACAAUGCACAGUCAAAGGAUGUGGGAGAGAGGCCCUGCCCAAUGGGCUUACAGUCUAGUUUACAGAAUCAAGCAGCAGGAAUCAAAUGAAAUACGGGGCGGAGUAUCCAAUUUCACCACCUGAGGCAAAAUGGUAAUACUGUAUGCCAUCCCACCACCAUUGAAUCGUCCCUUACCUGGGUCGUGCAGCGGUACUUGCAAAGAGGCAGCAGUGGUUUCUGGUGAGAUCUUGUGUACUCUGCCAGACCUUGCAAGAAUUUGGCAAGAUCUCACUGGCAGCGGCAGGCGCCACACAAAGGGGCUGCCCAAGGUGGCUGCCUCAUCCCACCCACAGGUGGGCCGGCCCUGACUAAACAGAGCACUUGAAGGAGAAGGCGGCCAUAACUGGUUAGCAGGAGCCAGUCAGGAGACGAUGGGUGCAGGGUUGCAGGAAGGUCAAGGCUGCCCAGGUGCACCAUAGGAUUCACUCUGGUACUCCACUGGUGCACCCAGUGGCCCUGUGUCUCUCUGUUACCCUACCCUAGCAUCAGUUUAGAAAAAGUUCCCCCCGCAUGUGACACGGUUGCCAAAGGCUACUUCUUAUGCUACUUGUUCUGGGCAAAAUUCUAGGCAAGCUGGAUGCUUAUUUCCGAACUAUAGCAUUAGAAACUUGACAGGUAGUGACUAUAUUCAGGUUCCUCCUGGUAGCAAUGCCCUUUCAUUAGGGUGUACACCCAGGGAAUUUUUAUUCACAUUUUCCCCAGCUCCUUUGAAAAUGGACAGGCAGAUUGCAAUGGGGCUUUGAACAGGAUUCAUAGAAUGAUGCCCUAAAUGAAUGAUGCAUAUCCACUUUUGAUGUCUCGAUCUUCAGGGGAGAUCUUACAAUACAGUGCGUUUUACACAACUCCUUCCCCUACACUGAAAUAUAUACCAGGGGACUAAUCUGGUGUUCUAACUGGAAAUAUUGAAAAUGCAAAUUGGCUUUCAUUCUAAUGUGUCAACAUUCGUAUCCCCUCACUUUUAAAAUCCAAAUGUGCUCUGCUCUGUGUACUACAUUGCAAUACCUCAUUUUCAACUAAGGUGUUGCACAGAAAGAAAACAAACUUAAAACUAAAUAGGAUAACCACCAAGCCAAAUUCCUCACUUCAAUUGUCCAGUACUCAAAGUCCAGUGAAAAUAAGAAUUUAGUACCCUAGACUUCAUAUUAUUUUAACUUUUUAUUGGCUACCAUUAUUGAAUAUUAUAUUAAAAUGUUCUUUGAAUAUACAGUGUGGGGGUCUUUGUAGAAGUGUGCUUUUGUUGUUCCUGAUUCCUCCUUUCUUUACAUAGAUGUAAGAAAACUACCUUGGAUUUCAGAGUUUUCAGUUUCUGUCUUUGUCAAUGGGGAACCUUAAAAUGGAGGUUGUUAGAGGCAAAAGGUUUGCUCGCGUUGUCUGAGGUGUUGGUUUUCAUCCUUGCUUCCUCCGCCCGCUUGGAGAGCAACAAAUAUUAACUGCUACUGCAAUACUUCAUUAAACAAAUAUUUGUGUAAA